rnacentral:rRNA from 1 species
UCCUGGCCGUAAACGCUGUGGGCUAGGUGUUGCAUGCUCUACGGGGGCGUGCAGUGCCGAAGAGAAGUUGAUAAGCCUACCGCCUGGGAAGUAUUACUGCAAGGUAGAAACUUAAAGGAAUUGGCGGGGGAGCACCACAAGGGGUGGAGUCUGCGGUUCAAUUGGAUUCAACGCCGGAAAUCUCACCGGGGGCGACGGCAGAAUGAUGGCCAGGCUGAAGACCUUGCUUGACGAGCCGAGAGGAGGUGCAUGGCCGCCGUCAGCUCGUACCGUGAGGCGUCCUGUUAAGUCAGGCAA